AACGAACGCUGGCGGCAUGCCUAACACAUGCAAGUCGAACGAGACCUUCGGGUCUAGUGGCGCACGGGUGCGUAACGCGUGGGAAUCUGCCCUUGGGUUCGGAAUAACAGUUGGAAACGACUGCUAAUACCGGAUGAUGACGUAAGUCCAAGAUUUAUCGCCCAAGGAUGAGCCCGCGUAGGAUUAGCUAGUUGGUGAGGUAAAGGCUCACCAAGGCGACGAUCCUUAGCUGGUCUGAGAGGAUGAUCAGCCACACUGGGACUGAGACACGGCCCAGACUCCUACGGGAGGCAGCAGUGGGGAAUAUUGGACAAUGGGCGAAAGCCUGAUCCAGCAAUGCCGCGUGAGUGAUGAAGGCCUUAGGGUUGUAAAGCUCUUUUACCCGGGAUGAUAAUGACAGUACCGGGAGAAUAAGCGCCGGCUAACUCCGUG
rnacentral:rRNA from 1 species